rnacentral:rRNA from 1 species
CUACGUGCCAGCAGCCGCGGUAAUACGUAUGUCACAAGCGUUAUCCGGAUUUAUUGGGCGUAAAGCGCGUCUAGGUGGUUAUGUAAGUCUGAUGUGAAAAUGCAGGGCUCAACUCUGUAUUGCGUUGGAAACUGCAUGACUAGAGUACUGGAGAGGUAAGCGGAACUACAAGUGUAGAGGUGAAAUUCGUAGAUAUUUGUAGGAAUGCCGAUGGGGAAGCCAGCUUACUGGACAGAUACUGACGCUAAAGCGCGAAAGCGUGGGUAGCAAACAGGAUUAGAUACCCUGGUAGUCCACGUCGUAAACGCUG